rnacentral:rRNA from 1 species
CAAGCGGUGGAGCAUGUGGUUUAAUUCGAUGCAACGCGAAGAAACUUAUCUGGUCUUGACAUCUAUAGAAUCUUGCAGAGAUGCGAGAGUGCUUUCGGGAACUGCGAGACAGGGGGUGCUUGGCUGCUGUCAGCGUCUCGUGUGAAAUGAUGGGUUAAUAAGUCCCGCGAGCGCACGUCCCUUAUCUUCUGUUGCUACCAUUGGGUUGGACACUCUGACAGAACCGCCUCGAUAUAACGGGAAGAAAGGUGGGAAUGACGUCAGUCCUCAUGGCCUUUAUGUCCAGGGCUACACACGUGCUACAAUGACCGAUACAAACCACUGCAACCCCGCGAGGGUGAGCUAAUCGGAAAAAGCCGGCCUCAGUUCAGAUUGAAGUCUGCAACUCAACUCCAUGAAUCUGGAAUCGCUAUUAAUCAUGGAUCAACAUGCCACGGUGAAUACGUUCCCGGGCCUUGUACACACC